rnacentral:lncRNA from 1 species
GGUUGGCGUUUCGAGAGAAGUGCCAGUUUGUUGCUUGACUUGCGGUUGGACGAAGAUUUAUGUCACGUUGCCUUGGGCUCAUAGACAGCAAAUGGUGCGAUCAAGUGCAGAACAUUCAAGUGUCAACCUCGGAGAAGUACAUAAAAAGGCAAACGGCCAACCAGUGGCCUCGCGAUCUUUCUGUGGAAAUAUUACUAGAAGAGUUGCAAUUCGCCGAGCGUUUAGAUCUGUGGAAGUGGAAACUAGCCCUUUUGCACUGUUCCAAUCACUACGAAUCCAGCAGUCAACAACAUUCGCCAGAACGUCAUCAACGCCAAAGUCAAGAAGUUGUUCAAUGCUGAGUCUGAGACCGAAUUGAUGACACUGGGCAACAAAUUUAACACUGUAUCUCAGCUGUGCCCAGUCUGAGCCGUUCAACUGCAGGCCUUUAGGUUCGCCAUCUCUCAUUCCGGUCUAUUGCAGCAGUAGUUAACGCUCGAGUACAACGUCGUACAAGAUUGUACAACGUCCUACGAUAGGAGAUCUGCUAAAAGAGGGCUACCGUCUUUCUUUCGGUUUCAUCGGUUUCUUUUCAUCAAUCCAAUGAACAUCACUGGUGAGUUGUAAGUUACCCUUGCUAUGGGAAAACUUUACAGCUACUCUCUUUCAGAAAUUCAGACUUCAAUGAAAAAUCUUGGCAGCAAUUCAGUUUAAACUGUGACAAAGUACGUUCUUUUUUUAUCUUACCUGUAUUAUUAAGCUUUUAACUCUUUAGUGGUAAAUUAGAUUAGGCAACACUAUCUUCGUUGUGAAUUUCAGUCAAGUUAUUUUACUUAUUGACUGAUUUUAAUACGAUCGUCUUCUUUCGCGUAUCGACCGACAGAUGCUAGGCCCUUCCAUUUCUAUCUUCACUUGUCUUCCUCGUUUUUAAGUAGCUUCAACUCCAAACUGCCGCGUAGUUCUUGAAAUUUAGCGUUUUAAAAAUAGUAAUCUAAUAGAUCUUGUUGGGAAAAGUGUUCGCGUGAUGUUCACCCUGAUGAUCAAGGUGCAAACAUCAGAUCCUGAUAGGACGACUGUACUCACUUCCUUUUCCUGCCGGUUACUAACUUUUAAGAUUUCGCCAAAUUCAUUUAAGGGAAAUGUGUCGUUCCUCUUGAGUCAGAGGUUAGGAUAGGAAACAAUAAGAAAAUAACCGCUCAUCGGUGAGGUCGAAAAGUUUAGUUGUCCAAUUUUCACUGGUCGUUAGAUAACUGUUUGGUCUGUUCCAACAGAGUGUGGCGUGUCUGUCGUCAUCAGCAUUUGUUGGUCAACUUCUCACAAAACCAGCAAAUGCUCGAUGUAAUAAACAACGCUCUUCUUUAACAAUGAACUUGAAAAGCUAUAAUUGCUACAGUCAAGGGGUCCGCAACUCAAAUUUACUACAAUAAAAAAGGUAAAAAAGCAAAAAAAAAGUGAAAAAAGGAAAAAAAAAGGAAAUUUACUUUACGUGCUAAAAGAAGGGCGCGCGCGAACGAACCCCCCCUCCUCCCCAUCCCCUCCCUACCCUUUUAUUUUCGCUUGAAGGAAAGCCUAUCUCAAAAGUAAAAAAGGAAAAAUAAA